AUUAUUUUGGCAGAUAAUAUGCAUUAAAUUUAGGAUUUAAUUAUAUAGGGAAUCUAUAAAUAAUA
rnacentral:tRNA from 1 species